rnacentral:rRNA from 1 species
GAUGAACGUUGGCGGCGUGCCUAAUACAUGCAAGUCGAACGAAGACUGUAGUAAUACUGUCUUAGUGGCGAACGGGUGAGUAACGCGUGGGUGACCUGCCCCGAAGUGUGGGAUAACAGUCCGAAAGGAUUGCUAAUACUGCAUAAUAUCCAAGAGAUUAGACGCUUUCGGAUUAAAGGAGUAAUUCGCUUCGGGAGGGGCCCGCGUCCCAUCAGCUAGUUGGUAAGGUAAUGGCUUACCAAGGCGAUGACGGGUAGGGGACCUGAGAGGGUGGCCCCCCAAAUGGAACUGAAACACGGUCCAUACACCUACGGGUGGCAGCAGUAGGGAAUAUUAGUAAUGGGCGAAAGCCUGAACUAGCAACGCCGCGUGUGCGAAAGAAGGCCUUGGGUCGUAAAGCACUUUUUGAGAGGAUGAGGAAGGACGGUACUCUCAGAAUAAGUCUCGGCUAAACUACGUGCCAGCAGCCGCGGUAAUCAUAACUCGUA